CCCUUAGAUGUCCUGGGCCGCACGCGCGUUACACUGAUGCAUUCAACGAGCUUAUAACCUUGGCCGAGAGGCCUGGGCAAUCUUAUUAACGUGCAUCGUGAUAGGGAUAGAUUAUUGAAAUUAUUAAUCUUGAACGAGGAGUUCCUAGUAAACGCAGAUCAUCAAUCUGCAUUGAUUACGUCCCUGCCCUUUGUACACACCGCCCGUCGCACCUACCGAUUGGAUGGUCCGGUGAAGCCUCGGGAUUGUGGUUCUUGCCGCUUUAUUGUGGCGUGACCGCGAGAACUUGUCUAAACCUUAUCAUCUAGAGGAAGGUGAAGUCGUAACA
rnacentral:rRNA from 1 species